rnacentral:rRNA from 1 species
AGUGAACGCUGGCGGUAGGCCUAACACAUGCAAGUCGAACGGCAGCACAGUAAGAGCUUGCUCUUACGGGUGGCGAGUGGCGGACGGGUGAGGAAUACAUCGGAAUCUACUUUUUCGUGGGGGAUAACGUAGGGAAACUUACGCUAAUACCGCAUACGACCUACGGGUGAAUGCAGGGGAUCUUCGGACCUUGCGCGAUUGAAUGAGCCGAUGUCGGAUUAGCUAGUUGGCGGGGUAAAGGCCCACCAAGGCGGCGAUCCGUAGCUGGUAUGAGAGGAUGAUCAGCCACACUGGAACUGAGACACGGUCCAGACUCCUACGGGAGGCAGCAGUGGGGAAUAUUGGACAAUGGGCGCAAGCCUGAUCCAGCCAUACCGCGUGGGUGAAGAAGGCCUUCGGGUUGUAAAGCCCUUUUGUUGGGAAAGAAAAGCAGCAGGUUAAUACCCCGCUGUUCUGACGGUACCCAAAGAAUAAGCACCGGCUAACUUCGUG